rnacentral:lncRNA from 1 species
GCUGGCCUGCUGACCGUCUGGUGGAGGAGAUAAUAAUAGCAUUCUGCUGGCACACUGAUGAUGGCGUCAGCGAGUAGGAGUUGCAUCGCCGUAAAAAGGACUUAGGACUUCAACCGAGGGAAAGGCGGACUUGCUGACGGACUGAUGGAGCUGACGGACUGGUGGAGGAGAUAAUAAUAACAUGACACCUGCUGACCCACUGAUGAUGGCGUCAGCGAGUAGGACUUGCAUCGCCAUAAAAUGAACUUAGGACUUCAACCGAGGGAAAGGACCGACUGGCUGACGGACUGGUGGAUCUGACGGACUGGUGGAACUAGUGGAGCUGACGGACUGGUGGAGGAGAUAAUAAUAACAUGACACCUGCUGACCCACUGAUGAUGGCGUCAGCGAGUAGGACUUGCAUCGCCGUAAAAAGGACUUAGGACUUCAACCGAGGGAAAGGACCCACUGGCUGACGGACUGGUGGAGCUGACGGACUGGUGGAACUGGUGGAGCUGACGGACUGGUGGAGCUGACGGACUGGUGGAGGAGAUAAUAAUAACAUGACACAUGCUGACCCACUGAUGAUGGCGUCAGCGAGUAGGACAAUGUACAUAUAUAUAUUAAGUGACUGAAAACACAAGAAAUACUAGACCUUGCCACAGCUGGUACAUAAAUGCCAAAGAAUACAGGAAAUACCAGGCUUCUUCACAGCUGGUGCAUAAAUGACAGAAAAUACAGGAAAUACCAGCCAUUGUAACAGCUGGUAAAUAAAUGCCAAAGAAUACAGGAAACACCAGACUUCAUAACAGCUGGUACAUAAAUGUUAGAAAACACAGGAAAUACCAGACAGUGUAACAACUGCUACAUGUACAUAAAUGACAGAAAAUACAGGAAAUACCACCCAUUGUAACAGCUGGUACAACUGAAAGUAAAAGCUAUACCAGCCAUCAUGAUAGCCGGUACAUAAAUGACUGAAUAUACAUGAAACACAAAACACUGUUACAACAGCUGAUAAAUGACUGAAAAUAUAUGUAUCUAUCUUGUUCCGGAACCACUGUCAGUAUAUUUAGUAACGACAAUGUAUUUUGUUUUAUGCCCUCGCUGUAGAUUUAUAUGUACCAGGGUUGAAAUAAAAGAAUA